GUCCAGGUUCUGAUUGGCAGACUCUCAACUGUUAGACUUUAAAAGAUAUAAAAUAGUUUCUAUUUCUUGAAGCAAAAACAUGCCUAGAGGUGGGACAGAAUUCAGCAUUGUGAUGAAGAGUGCUCUAAGCUGAUGUCACAGAGGUUGGCUUGGAGCUGGUGGUAAUUUCUAGCAGCCCUGGCAGACCUUAUUACUCCCUCGGUGGAAUACGUUGGUCAGUCUCUGAACUGCUCUAAGAGAGUUGUUUAGAUCCUAUUCUCAAAUCAGAGGUUUGCUAUACUACAGGUUUCUGAAGCAGACAAUAUCAGAAACCUGUUUCUUCUAUUUUGAGGUGUGUGCGCACACGUGUGUGCACGCACGUGCGUGCGCGUGCUUUAAAUAAUUGUUGUUAAUCCAGUGCUAGACAUCUUAACUUUGGUGUGAAAGAUGUUACACAUGAAUAUGAACAUUGUUGUCAGCAUUGUGUGCUGUAUGCUGGCUCUUGCAUUUAUGCUCGCAAUUUUUGCAUUUUGUCUUGCCCUGAAAAUAGUCAAAAAAUUCAAAUUCGCAAAUCAUCGAGAUGUCGAAAGAGGUGUUGAAACUAGCAAGUUCACUCCAAAAAAGUUCAAGGGGGUCAAACCCAAUCCUGAUGAGUCUCGUAACCUCCUGUACUGUGAUCAGUGUAAGAUCUGUGCGGAUUCUGGCACCCCGCCACCUUGUUAUUGUGACACCAACAAAGGACCCUGACAUGGCUGAGGCAGAACCCAAAAUUAUCACAAUCAGUAUUUUUUUUGUCAGUAGAAUAUUUUAGUUUUCAAAUUAAUUUCUGUUAUGUUUUUACUCUCAUUUACUCUCUACUAUGGUUUUAUGUUAUUUGUGUAAACACACAAUAAUAAAAUAGUCUUAUACCUUCA